GCAUUGAAACACGGGUUCCUGUACAAUCACCGAAGUUAAGCAACGUUGAGCCUGGUCUGUACCUAGAUGGGUGACCGCUUGGGAAUACCAGGUGCUACAAG